ensembl:lncRNA
CCUCACUGGGCACCACUUCCCUCAUAUUAAUUCAAUCUUUAAUUGAUAUUGAGAAGUUCUUUUUUCCUUUGAGUCUAACAAAUAACAAGCUCUGUGCUGAAAGUAAUAACCUCACCAGAGAGAAACAUAACUAAGAGGAAGAAUUACUGUGGAAGAUAUACUUGCCAUUUUUUUUUCUUCUCAAGAAGAUAGCAAAGGUAGGAGAGCAACUGAACAAUACAAUAAUUAGAGGUCAUCUGUAAGACUGGAAAUUUGAAAUGACAAGGCAGAAACACUAUCGAAGUAGGAUUCAGCUAUCUUGAAAUGCAGGAUGUGUGUUGAAGGAUGCUUUUGUUGUUUGAUCUACAGUCAGGUAUGCAUUACUGUAAGUAUCAUUGUAGGUAGCUGUUGAGGGUUCUUUCUAUGUAGCAGGAACCCAGAGUCAAAAGCAACAAGCUCAUUGCUUGUUCUUGUUGUUGCUGCCUGUGCCUUAAAAAUUGUGAUUAGAACUAAAAAGGAAACAAAACUCUCGUGAUGGAUGGUUCAGCAGUUUGUAAAUCUCCUUUCCUUAUUCACACAAGAAUGCCUUGCUCUCAUCCCCUUUCCCUGUUAUCUUUUUGGGCUAACGUCAUGUGCAG